rnacentral:rRNA from 1 species
GCUUGUCUCAAAGAUUAAGCCAUGCAUGUCUCAGUAUAAGUUCCUGUACGGCGAAACUGCGAAUGGCUCAUUAAAACAGUUAUAGUUUAUUUGAUGGUCGUUCCUUACAUGGAUAACUGUGGUAAUUCUAGAGCUAAUACAUGCACCCAUGCCCGACUUUGUGGAAGGGUUGUGUUUAUUAGAUACAGAACCAACCCAGGCUCCGCCUGGCCUUGAGGUGAUUCACAAUAACCGAACGAAUCGCAUAGCUGCCGCUGGCGAUAGACCAUUCAAGUUUCUGACCUAUCAGCUAUCGUCGGUAGGGUAUUGGCCUACCGUGGCAAUGACGGGUAACGGAGAAUUAGGGUUCGAUUCCGGAGAGGGAGCCUGAGAAACGGCUACCACAUCUAAGGAAGGCAGCAGG